ensembl:antisense
CAAGAUUCAACUGCUCUGCUACUAAUUGGUCUCAAUUAGUGGGAUCUACAGUACCUCUUGCCAAUCCACAGGAACAUACCGCACCUUAAGAAUCAAACAUGAGCACACCAAAGAACUUCUGGUGGUGUUCUGGUUACUUCUUGCCAGUUUCCUCCUGCUGCUUUGGGGAAACUUGCCGACCUGUGGAGCCUCAGUUUCUUCUGGAUCAAGGCACUGCUGCUGAUUCAUGUUUGGUGUUUUGCUAGUGGACUGGACUGCUGACAAUAAAGACUGCAAUCACCCCAAGGAAGAAGACUCAAGACUACUUCUCCAGGUCCAGGCCCUCCCUGUCCUAUCAGUCAUUUUCCUCCUCUACCUUUGGUUGGUUGACCCACUUAAGAACUAUUAUUAAAGUAAGUUUUGAAAAA